CCUACGGGAGGCAGCAGUGGGGGAUAUUGCACAAUGGGGGAAACCCUGAUGCAGCGACGCCGCGUGUGGGAAGACGGUCCUCUGGAUUGUAAACCACUGUCCCCAGGGACGAAGAUGACGGUACCUGGGGAGGAAGCUUCGGCUAACUACGUGCCAGCAGCGGCGGUAAUACGUAGGGAGCGAGCGUUGUCGGGAUUUACUGGGUGUAAAGGGAGCGUAGGAGGGGAUGCAAGUUGGGUGUAAAAACUACCGGCUCAAGUGGUAGUCGCACCCAAAACUGCAGCUCUUGAGUGAAGUAGAGGCAGGCGGAAUUCCUAGUGUAGCGGUGAAAUGCGUAGAUAUUAGGAGGAACACCAGUGGCGAAGGCGGCCUGCUGGGCUUUUACUGACGCUGAGGCUCGAAAGUGUGGGGAGCAAACAGGAUUAGAUACCCCUGUAGUC
rnacentral:rRNA from 1 species